GGAGCGAGUACCCCCGAAGUUAUUACAAGUGCACACAUCCAACCUGUCCAGUCAAGAAGAAAGUGGAGCGAUCUCCAGAGGGUCAUAUUACUGAGAUUAUAUACAAGGGAGCCCACAAUCACCCAAAACCCCCACCUAACCGUAGAUCAGCCCUUGGAUCCACAAAUUCACUUGGUGACCUACAGGUGGACGGUGCAGAACAAGGUGCAAGUGGUGUUAAUGGUGAUCUCGGUCAGGCAAACUUCCACAAAGCACCUGGUGGUGGAGGAGGUUUUGAUUGGAGGAACAACAAUCGUGAUGCAAACUUGGGCUCCGAGCACUGCAACAGAUCUGCCCCUUUCUCUGCUCAGAAUAACACUCGUUUGGAAUCAGGUGAUGCAGUAGAUGUGUCGUCGAAUUUUUCAAAUGAUGAAGAUGAAGAUGAUCGUGGAACUCAUGGCAGCGUAUCACAAGGUUAUGAGGGUGAAGGAGAUGAGUCCGAGUCUAAAAGAAGGAAGCUUGAGACCUACUCUGCAGAUAUGACUGGUGCUACUAGAGCCAUCAGGGAGCCAAGAGUUGUGGUUCAAACUACAAGCGAAGUGGACAUCCUUGAUGAUGGAUAUCGCUGGCGCAAGUAUGGGCAAAAGGUUGUCAAAGGGAAUCCAAAUCCAAGGAGUUACUACAAGUGCACAAGUGCUGGCUGCAAUGUCAGGAAGCAUGUUGAGAGGGCCUCGCAUGACCUGAAGUCAGUGAUUACCACCUACGAAGGGAAGCACAACCACGACGUUCCUGCAGCUCGCAACAGUAGUCAUGUUAAUUCAGGUGCCUCCAACACUCAUCCAGCUUCAGUUACUGCCCCUGCUCAAAACCAUUUACAUAGGCCGGAGGCUGCUCAACUUCAGAAUGCUAUGGCGCGAUUUGACAGGCAACCUUCAUUGGGCUCAUUUGGUCUGUCAGGGAGGCCCCCCCAGCUUGGACCUAACCCAGGAUUUAGCUAUGGAAUGAACCAGCAAGGCGGCCUAUCCAGUCUAGCAAUGGCCGGAUUUCAUCCUAAUCAAAACAAGCCAGGGGAGGUUCCUAUGCAUCCAUAUCUAGGACAGCCGCGACCCAUGCAUGAUAUGGGAUUUAUGUUCCCAAAGGAAGAACCAAAGGUGGAACCUCUGUCAGAUCCUGGCCCAACAGCUUAUCAGCAAUUUUUGAACAGUUUGUCGCUUGGACCUCAGAUGUAAAUUUACAGUUUUUGUCUUCUCUAAAGAACAGAAAGUUAGAGAUGCUGAUUUUGGUACUUAAUGGGCAUACCUCCCUACACAGAGUCCUAUAAUACAACUUUUUGAAGCUAUAUUGUCUUUGUUUUAACUUCUAAAUACCAUAUAGGCCGCCACUCAUUUGACGUUUGUGCUUCAGCUUCUUGCUAUACUGACAAACAGUUUCAGGUUGUAACAUGGAAAAGUUCCAUGUCCUAUCGUAUUUUGGAGGCUAAGGUUUAUGUCCUCCUCCGUGUAUUUGUUCUUUUGCCUAAAAC
rnacentral:misc_RNA from 1 species